UACGUAGGGGGCCAGCGUUGUUCGGAAUUACUGGGUGUAAAGGGUUCGUAGGCGGUGUGGCAAGUUGGGAGUGAAAUCUCUGGGCUCAACCCAGAGACGGCUUCCAAAACUGCCGUGCUUGAGUGUGGGAGAGGCUCGUGGAAUUGCAGGUGUAGCGGUGAAAUGCGUAGAUAUCUGCAGGAACACCCGUGGCGAAAGCGGCGAGCUGGACCACUACUGACGCUGAAGAACGAAAGCUAGGGGAGCAAACAGG
rnacentral:rRNA from 2 species